UACGAAGGGGGCUAGCGUUGCUCGGAAUCACUGGGCGUAAAGGGUGCGUAGGCGGUUCUUUAAGUCAGGGGUGAAAUCCUGGAGCUCAACUCCAGGACUGCCUUUGAUACUGAGGAUCUUGAGUACGGGAGAGGUGAGUGGAACUGCGAGUGUAGAGGUGAAAUUCGUAGAUAUUCGCAAGAACACCAGUGGCGAAGGCGGCUCACUGGCCCGUAACUGACGCUGAGGCACGAAAGCGUGGGGAGCAAACAGG
rnacentral:rRNA from 1 species